rnacentral:rRNA from 1 species
AUUGAACGCUGGCGGCGAUGCCUACACAUGCAAGUCGAACGGAGUAGGGGCAACUCUACUUCAGUGGCGGACGGGUGAGGAAUGCGUCGGAAUCUACCCUAUGGUGGGGGAUAACACAGGGAAACUUGUGCUAAUACCGCAUAAUGUCGAGAGACCAAAGCAGGGGACCGCAAGGCCUUGCGCGAUAGGAUGAGCCGACGCCCGAUUAGCUAGUUGGUAGGGUAAAGGCCUACCAAGGCGACGAUCGGUAGCUGGUCUGAGAGGAUGAUCAGCCACACUGGGACUGAGACACGGCCCAGACUCCUACGGGAGGCAGCAGUGGGGAAUAUUGGACAAUGGGCGCAAGCCUGAUCCAGCAAUGCCGCGUGUGUGAAGAAGGCCUGCGGGUUGUAAAGCACUUUUGUUCGGGAAGAAAUCAUGCUGGUUAAUACCUGGUAUGGAUGACGGUACCGAAAGAAUAAGCACCGGCUAACUUCGUG